UACGUAGGGGGCAAGCGUUAUCCGGAUUUACUGGGUGUAAAGGGAGCGUAGACGGCCAGACAAGUCUGAAGUGAAAAUCCAGCGCUUAACGUUGGAAGUGCUUUGGAAACUGCCGGGCUAGAGUGCAGGAGGGGCAGGCGGAAUUCCUAGUGUAGCGGUGAAAUGCGUAGAUAUUAGGAGGAACACCAGUGGCGAAGGCGGCCUGCUGGACUGCAACUGACGUUGAGGCUCGAAGGCGUGGGGAGUAAACAGG
rnacentral:rRNA from 1 species